rnacentral:snRNA from 1 species
AUGCUCGCUUUGGCAGCACAUAUGCUAAAAUUGGGACGAUACAGAGAAGAUUAGCAUGGCUCCUGUGCAAGGAUGACAUGCAAAUUCAUGAAGUGUUCCAUAUUUUU